rnacentral:rRNA from 1 species
UUUCCAGACUCCUACGGGAGGCAGCAGUGGGGGAUAUUGCACAAUGGGGGAAACCCUGAUGCAGCGACGCCGCGUGGGCGAAGAAGUAUUUCGGUAUGUAAAGCCCUAUCAGCAGGGAAGAAGAAAUGACGGUACCUGAGUAAGAAGCACCGGCUAAAUACGUGCCAGCAGCCGCGGUAAUACGUAUGGUGCAAGCGUUAUCCGGAUUUACUGGGUGUAAAGGGAGCGCAGGCGGCACGGCAAGCCUGAUGUGAAAGCCCGCGGCCCAACCCCGGGACUGCUCUGGGAACUGUGCGGCUGGAGUGCGGGAGGGGCAGGCGGAAUUCCUGGUGUAGCGGUGAAAUGCGUAGAUAUCAGGAGGAACACCGGCGGCGAAGGCGGCCUGCUGGACCGCGACUGACGUUGAGGCUCGAAAGCGUGGGGAGCAAACAGGAUUAGAUACCCGAGUA